GAAUACAUUUGUGUGAGGUCUC
rnacentral:piRNA from 1 species